UGCUCACAAUUUAAAAUCAGGCCUUUGAACUGUGAGUAAACUGCAUUAGACAGACAGGGGGAGCAAGAUGGAAUCACAGACCCAGGUCCUCAUGUCCCUGCUGCUCUGGAUUUCUGGUACCUGUGGGGACAUUGUGAUGACCCAAUCUCCAUCCUCCCUGGCUGUGUCAGCAGGAGAGACGGUCACUAUAAACUGCAAGUCCAGUCAGAGUCUUUUAUCCAGUGGAAACCAAAAGAACUACUUGGCCUGGUACCAGCAGAAACCAGGGCAGUCUCCUAAACUGCUGAUCUACUUGGCAUCCACUAGGGAAUCUGGUGUCCCUGAUCGCUUCAUAGGCAGUGGAUCUGGGACAGACUUCACUCUGACCAUCAGCAGUGUGCAGGCUGAAGAUCUGGCAGAUUAUUACUGUCAGCAGCAUUACAGCUAUCCUCCCACAGUGCUACAGCCUCCUACACAAACCUCCUUGAGAGUUUCAACAGCUGUGUACAUCAUACACAGCCCUGGAAUGCACACUGCCCUCAUCUGCCUGAGAGUUGCCAUGCCUAAAAGCUGAAGACACUGUUUUCAGAGCAUGGUAAAAAAAAUAAUAUGUUCAAUUCCUCCUAUGUUUUUUGGUAUAAAAAUUCUAUACACCAAAAUAUGGAAUAAAACCACAGUAUUAUUUUUCUAUUCUUCCUGCAACAAUUUACCACAAACCCUUCUGAUUGAAUAGAGGAAUUUACCUUUU